rnacentral:snRNA from 1 species
GUGCUUGCUUCAGUAGCACAUGUACUAAAAUUGGAAUGAUACAGAGAUUAGCAUAGCCCCUAAACAAGGAUGGCAGGUACUUUCAUGAAGCACNCCAUUAAAUA